GAUUCUGGCUCAGGAUGAACGCUAGCGGCAGGCCUAACACAUGCAAGUCGCGGGGCAGCACAGGUAGCAAUACCUGGUGGCGACCGGCGCACGGGUGCGUAACGCGUAUGCAACCUGCCCCCAUCAGGGGAAUAGCCCGCCGAAAGGCGGAUUAAUGCCCCAUAGGCCCAGGGCGCCGCAUGGCGCUAUGGGUAAAGCUCCGGCGGAUGGGGAUGGGCAUGCGUGCCAUUAGCUAGUUGGGGCGGUAACGGCGCACCAAGGCGACGAUGGCUAGGGGGUCUGAGAGGAUGGUCCCCCACACUGGUACUGAGACACGGACCAGACUCCUACGGGAGGCAGCAGUGAGGAAUAUUGGUCAAUGGGCGGAAGCCUGAACCAGCCAAUGCCGCGUGCAGGAUGACGGCCCUACGGGUUGUAAACUGCUUUUCCCCGGGAAGAAUAAGCCCCUCGUGAGGGGUGAUGCCGGUACCGGGGGAAUAAGGAUCGGCUAACUCCGUGCCAGCCGCCGC
rnacentral:rRNA from 1 species